ncrna:Lactococcus lactis subsp. cremoris NZ9000 DTF1646 RNA
GGUUGGGCGCAAGCUUCAAGACAUUAUCUCCAAGGGUGAGGAGAU